UACGUAGGCAGCAAGCGUUGUUCGGAGUUACUGGGCGUAAAGGGUGUGUAGGCGGUUAUUUAAGUUUGGUGUGAAAUCUCCCGGCUCAACCGGGAGGGUGCGCCGAAUACUGAAUGACUUGGAGUGCGGGAGAGGAAAGUGGAAUUCCUGGUGUAGCGGUGAAAUGCGCAGAUAUCAGGAGGAACACCGGUGGCGAAGGCGGAUCUCUGGGCCUUACCUGACGCUGAGGCGCGAAAGCUAGGGGAGCGAACAGG
rnacentral:rRNA from 1 species